CCUACGGGUGGCAGCAGUGAGGAAUAUUGGUCAAUGGGCUUACGCCUGAACCAGCCAAGUCGCGUGAGGGAAGACUGCCCUAUGGGUUGUAAACCUCUUUUGUCAGGGAGCAAUUGGCGCUACGUGUAGCGUUAUCGAGAGUACCUGAAGAAAAAGCAUCGGCUAACUCCGUGCCAGCAGCCGCGGUAAUACGGAGGAUGCGAGCGUUAUCCGGAUUUAUUGGGUUUAAAGGGUGCGUAGGCGGAAUGCCAAGUCAGCGGUAAAAUCGCGGGGCUCAACCGUAAAAUUGCAAUUGAUACUGGCAGUCUUGAGUACAGUUGAGGUAGGCGGAAUUCGUGGUGUAGCGGUGAAAUGCUUAGAUAUCACGAAGAACCCCGAUUGCGAAGGCAGCUUACUAAACUGUGACUGACAUUGAUGCUCGAAAGUGUGGGUAUCAAACAGGAUUAGAUACCCGAGUAGUC
rnacentral:rRNA from 1 species